AUAGAACGCUAGCGGGAUGCCUUACACAUGCAAGUCGAACGGCAGCGCGGACUUCGGUCUGGCGGCGAGUGGCGAACGGGUGAGUAAUGUAUCGGAACGUGCCCAGUAGCGGGGGAUAACUACUCGAAAGAGUAGCUAAUACCGCAUACGCCCUACGGGGGAAAGGGGGGGAUCGCAAGACCUCUCACUAUGGGAGCGGCCGAUAUCGGAUUAGCUAGUUGGUGAGGUAAAGGCUCACCAAGGCGACGAUCCGUAGCUGGUUUGAGAGGACGACCAGCCACACUGGGACUGAGACACGGCCCAGACUCCUACGGGAGGCAGCAGUGGGGAAUUUUGGACAAUGGGGGCAACCCUGAUCCAGCCAUUCCGCGUGUGCGAUGAAGGCCUUCGGGUUGUUAAGCACUUUUGGCAGGAAAGAAAUCGCACGGAUUAAUACUCUGUGUGGAUGACGGUACCUGCAGAAUAAGCACCGGCUAACUACGUGCCAGCAGCCGCCGUAA
rnacentral:rRNA from 1 species